GUGGGAAUCUGCCCCUUGGUUCGGAAUAACAGCUAGAAAUGGCUGCUAAUACCGGAUGACGACGUAAGUCCAAAGAUUUAUCGCCGAGGGAUGAGCCCGCGUAGGAUUAGCUGGUUGGUGUGGUAAAGGCGCACCAAGGCGACGAUCCUUAGCUGGUCUGAGAGGAUGAUCAGCCACACUGGGACUGAGACACGGCCCAGACUCCUACGGGAGGCAGCAGUGGGGAAUAUUGGACAAUGGGCGCAAGCCUGAUCCAGCAAUGCCGCGUGAGUGAUGAAGGCCUUAGGGUUGUAAAGCUCUUUUACCCGGGAUGAUAAUGACAGUACCGGGAGAAUAAGCUCCGGCUAACUCCGUGCCAGCAGCCGCGGUAAUACGGAGGGAGCUAGCGUUGUUCGGAAUUACUGGGCGUAAAGCGCACGUAGGCGGCUUUGUAAGUUAGAGGUGAAAGCCUGGAGCUCAACUCCAGAAUUGCCUUUGAUACUGCAUGGCUUGAAUCCAGGAGAGGUGAGUGGAAUUCCGAGUGUAGAGGUGAAAUUCGUAGAUAUUCGGAAGAACACCAGUGGCGAAGGCGGCUCACUGGACUGGUAUUGACGCUGAGGUGCGAAAGCGUG
rnacentral:rRNA from 1 species